CAAUUGGUACGGUCCAAAGCCCUCUAACCCUUCUGCUAAUGGUGCUGUGCUAACACACUCAAGGCAUCAUGGUGAAGUUUGCAGCGUUUGUUCGAGAGCACUGGGUCAAUAUUCUGGUGCCCAUGGGUUUCCUCAUGGGUAUUUAUCUGGACCGGUGGAAUGACCAGAGACUCACAGCGUUCAGGAACAAGAGCGCUUUAUACAGCAGGGAACUGAAGCCCGGUGAGGAGUACACCUGGAAGUGAGGCGCCGCCACUGAUAUUUAUUGGAUCCGAUUCCCACCAUGUGUAUAUUGUCUGUGCAGCGACUGUGUCUCUGAUUGCAAACAGGCUGCAAUAAAUUGUCAGUUUAGUUCUGUAA